CAGUCGCCGCGGUAAUACGGAGGGGGCUAGCGUUGUUCGGAAUUACUGGGCGUAAAGCGCACGUAGGCGGCUUGGUAAGUUAGAGGUGAAAGCCCGGAGCUCAACUCCGGAAUUGCCUUUAAGACUGCCGAGCUAGCAGGUGAGAGAGGUAAGUGGAAUUCCGAGUGUAGAGGUGAAAUUCGUAGAUAUUCGGAAGAACACCAGUGGCGAAGGCGGCUUACUGGCUCAUACUGGACGCUGAGGUGCGAAAGCGUGGGGAGCAAACAGGAUUAGAUACCCCCGUAGUCCCUGUCUCUUAUAC
rnacentral:rRNA from 1 species